rnacentral:rRNA from 1 species
AUUGAGCGCUGGCGGAAUGCUUUACACAUGCAAGUCGAACGGCAGCACGGACUUCGGUCUGGUGGCGAGUGGCGAACGGGUGAGUAAUGUAUCGGAACGUGUCCAGUCGUGGGGGAUAACGUAGUGAAAAUUACGCUAAUACCGCAUACGAUCUAUGGAUGAAAGCGGGGGAUCGCAAGACCUCGCGCGAUUGGAGCGGCCGAUAUCAGAUUAAGUAGUUGGUGGGGUAAAGGCCCACCAAGCCAACGAUCUGUAGCUGGUCUGAGAGGACGACCAGCCACACUGGAACUGAGACACGGUCCAGACUCCUACGGGAGGCAGCAGUGGGGAAUUUUGGACAAUGGGCGAAAGCCUGAUCCAGCCAUUCCGCGUGCAGGAUGAAGGCCCUCGGGUUGUAAACUGCUUUUGUACAGAACGAAAAGGUUUCUACUAAUACUAGGAGCUCAUGACGGUACUGUAAGAAUAAGCACCGGCUAACUACGUGCCAGCAGCCGCAGUAA